AUAUGAAUUAGAAAGAGGGAGAGGGAGAGGGAGAGGGAGAGGGAGAGAGUUUUAGAGAGAGACAUUCUCUGAUCUUUAGAUUGGUUGCUUAGACUCUGAAACGGAUUCGGAUCAGUGUGUUGCUGAGUAAUUACGCGCUAGGGUUUCGAUUGAUUUCAUUCACUUCGUGGAAUCAAUCUAUCACAGGGCAUUGCAAUUCAACAUGAAAGAGUUUCUUUCUCAUUGCUUAAGGUUAAGCAAGGUGUUUAAGAUGAGUUCAUUGGAAAUCAUCAAGGACUGCUAGAUCAGUUGUCAUAUGCUGGUCAUGGAGAGCAGUGAAAGGUUCAGUGAUAAGGUCUUCUUAAAUGGAGACGUCUAUGUUGGUAAUUUCAAGGGAAUCUUUCCCCAUGGCAAGGGAAAGUAUACUUGGUCAGAUGGAAUGGUUUAUGAGGGUGAUUGGGAUGAAGGAAAAAUGACUGGGAAAGGACAGGUUUUUUGGCAAUCGGGAGCAACAUUUGAUGGUGAUUUCUCUGGGGGUUACCUUCAUGGCUUUGGCACCUUUACUAGUGCUGAUGGGUCUGUAUACAGAGGGUACUGGAGGAUGAACAUUCAACAUGGGCUUGGAAGGAAAGAGUACUGUAAUUCUGAUAUUUAUGAUGGUUCAUGGAAAGAGGGAAUACAUGAAGGCAGAGGUAGGUAUGUUUGGAGUAAUGGUAACACAUAUAUUGGGAAUUGGAAAGCUGGGAAAAUGUGUGGUAGAGGGGUCAUGAAAUGGGUGAGUGGUGAUCUUUUUGAUGGCUUUUGGUUGAAUGGGUUUAGACAUGGCUCAGGCUGUUACAGGUUUGCAGAUGGGAGUUAUUAUUUUGGGACAUGGACUAAGGGUCUGAAGGAUGGACAAGGAACAUACUAUCCUGCUGGAAGUAACGAUCCAUCACUGAAGAGGAAAGGGUUGCUAUUUCAUAGUCCAUUCUUAAAUUCAGAGGAGUGCAGGGUUCCCAGUCCUAGGAUCAAGCGUAGUCUUUCCGAGAAGAUUAUUAACAGCUUUUCAAAAGGUUCAAGUCGAUCCCAGAGGAGUACGCCAUUGGAUGAAGGUCGGAGCCUUUGUGAUUCCACCAGCAAGGUCUCAUCUUGCAACACUUCAUGCGUGUUAUCGCGUUCCUCUGAUGGGUGUCAGCAUGAGGUGCAGGAUAAUACUACUGUAGUUUUUGAAAGGGAAUACAUGCAAGGAGUUUUGAUCAAAGAAAGGAUUAGAAAAACUACAGGACUAUCAUACAAAAGUAAACAGCGGAAUAAGUUUCAUGCCAAAAAAGUGAAAAAGAGGUCAUGUAUUGACAUUUUUGAAGGUCAUAGGAGUUAUCAUCUGAUGCUUAAUCUGCAACUAGGAAUCAGGUACACUGUUGGAAAGAUCACACCAGUGCCUGAGCGUGAAGUUCGAGCUUCAGAUUUUGGAAAACAAGCUAGAAUAAGAAUGUAUUUUCCAAAGAAGGGCUCCCAGUUUACACCUGCACACUCUUCUAUUGAUUUCUAUUGGAAGGACUACUGCCCUAUGGUCUUCAGGAAUUUGAGGGAGAUGUUCAAGCUUGAUGCUGCAGAGUACAUGAUGUCCAUCUGUGGUGAUGACGGUCUGAGGGAGAUUUCUUCUCCAGGGAAAAGUGGCAGCAUUUUCUAUGUUUCUCACGACGAUAGGUUUUGCAUUAAGACUUUACGAAGAUCUGAACUGAAGGUUCUACUCAAUAUGCUGCCUAGCUAUUAUGAUCAUGUGAAAGCACAUGAAAACACCCUCAUAACAAAAUUUUUCGGGCUCCAUCAAAUAACAUUGAGAGGUGGAAAAAAGGUACGUUUUGUGGUCAUGGGGAAUAUGUUUUACACUGAAUUGCGAAUACACCGUCGUUUUGAUUUGAAGGGUUCAAAGCAAGGAAGAUUCACAAAACCGGAUGAGAUUGAUGAUAGUACCACUUUGAAAGAUCUCGAUUUAUCAUAUGAAUUUCAUAUGGACAAAUUACUGCGAGAGUCACUUUUUGAACAACUCAAACUAGACUGCAUGUUCUUAGAAUCUCAGCAAAUAAUUGAUUAUAGCCUUCUGUUGGGAGUGCAUUUUAGAGCUCCUGAGCAACUACAUGCCCUCUUGGAACCCCCUGAUGCACUACUGCACAAGCAUGACAGCUUGCCUCAAAUUGAUGUUUGCAGCUUAUGUUCUACUUCAUUUAGGUGAAAUCUCUCAAGGGGAGAUCUUGAUUCCUCCAAAGGGUCUGCUCCUAGUUACUCAUGAACCAAGCUUUGUCAGCUUUGCACCAGGUCCUCACAUUAGAGGAAAUACUUUGAGAGCAUUCUCUGUAGGGGACAAGGAAGUUGAUCUUCUUCUGCCUGGUAAUGCAAGGUUACGAGUGCAGGUAGGAGUGAACAUGCCAGCUCAGGCUAUUCGCAU